rnacentral:rRNA from 1 species
UUAAGCUAUAAAGAGCACAGGGUGGAUGCCUAGGCACUGAGAGCCGAUGAAGGACGUGAUAAGCUGCGAAAAGCCACGGGGAGGAGCAAAUAUCCUUUGAGCCGUGGAUAUCCGAAUGGGGGAACCCACUUAAGUAAACCUUAAGUACUGACAAGCCAAUACAUAACUUGCCAGAGGGAACCCGGGGAACUGAAACAUCUAAGUACCCGGAGGAAGAGAAAGAAACAUCGAUUUCCUUAGUAGCGGCGAGCGAAAGGGAAAGAGCCCAAACCGAGAGAUUUAUCUUUCGGGGUUAGGACUGCAUAAUUGAUCUGCGAUUGAUAGGAGAAUGGUCUGGGAAGUCCAGCAGGAAAGCGUGAAAGCCGCGUAUCCGAAAUUGAAAGCAGCAAGGCAGUAUCCAGAGUACCACGAGACACGAGGAACCUUGUGGGAAUGAGCGGAGACCACUCCGUAAGGCUAAAUACUACUCAGUGACCGAUAGCGCAUAGUACUGUGAAGGAAAGGUGAAAAGGACCCCGGGAGGGGAGUGAAAGAGAACCUGAAACCCUGUGUUUACAAGCUGUCGGAGCACGAUAAGUGCGACGGCGUACUUUUUGUAGAACGGUCCGGCGAGUUAUGAUACGCGGUAAGGUUAAGGACUUAAGGUCCGGAGCCGAAGCGAAAGCGAGUGUUAAGAGCACGAGGAAUCACGUAUCAUAGACCCGAAACCGGGUGAUCUAUCCAUGUCCAGGAUGAAGCUGCCGUAAGAGGUAGUGGAGGUCCGAACACACAUCCGUUGAAAAGGGUGGUGAUGAGGUGUGGAUAGGGGAGAAAUUCCAAUCGAACCCGGAGAUAGCUGGUUCUCCUCGAAAUAGCUUUAGGGCUAGCCUUCAGUUAGUCUGCCGCAGGUAGAGCACUGAAUUUCCUAGGGGGCGUCAAAGCCUACCGAAGAAUAUCAAACUGCGAAUGGCGGACAGAUGAUGCUGGGGAGUCAGACUGCACGAGAUAAGUUGGGUGGUCAAAAGGGAAAGAGCCCAGACCUACAGCUAAGGUCCCAAAGUGCGUGUUAAGUGGAAAAGGAUGUGGGAUUUCGAAGACAACUAGGAUGUUGGCUCAGAAGCAGCCACACAUUAAAAGAGUGCGUAAUAGCUCACUAGUCGAGAGGUCCUGCGCCGAAAAUGUCCGGGGCUGAAACACGACACCGAAGCUUAGGAACAAAGAAACCAAGGUUUCUAUAUGUUGGUAGAGGAGCAUUGUUAGCGGAACGAAGCCAUACCGGAAGGAGUGGUGGACUGCUAAGAAGAGAGAAUGCCGGAAUGAGUAGCGAGAUUGAAGUGAGAAUCUUCAAGGCCGAAUAUCUAAGGUUUCCAGGGUAAAGCUGAUCUGCCCUGGGUAAGUCGGGGCCUAAGGCGAGGUCGAAAGACGUAGCCGAUGGACAACAGGUUGAAAUUCCUGUACUGCGAUAUAUCAGAAAUGUGGGGACACAGAAGGAAAGUGUGAGCCGGGAAAGGAAAGACCGGUGCAAGCACAGGAGGAGGGAUACAGGCAAAUCCGUAUCCCAAUCCAAUGGUGUUACGCGGAGCGAACAAAAGUAGCGAAGCACACAGACCAUCUGUCGAGAAAAGCCGCUAUUGUGUAUACCGUACCCGUACCGUAAACCGACACAGGUGGAUGAGGAGAGAAUCCUAAGGCCGGCGGGAGAAGCAUUGUUAAGGAACUCGGCAAAAUGACCCCGUAACUUCGGGAGAAGGGGUGCUCACGCAAGUGAGCCGCAGAGAACUGGCCCAAGCAACUGUUUAGCAAAAACACAGGUCUAUGCAAAACCGAAAGGUGAGGUAUAUGGGCUGACGCCUGCCCGGUGCUGGAAGGUUAAGAGGAGAUGUUAGAGCAAUCGAAGCAUUGAAUUUAAGCCCCAGUAAACGGCGGCCGUAACUAUAACGGUCCUAAGGUAGCGAAAUUCCUUGUCGGGUAAGUUCCGACCCGCACGAAAGGCGUAAUGAUUUGGGCACUGUCUCGACAA